UACGUAGGGUGCAAGCGUUAAUCGGAAUUACUGGGCGUAAAGCGCACGCAGGUGGCUGAGUCAGUCGAUUGUGAAAGCCCUGGGCUUAACCUGGGAAUUGCAGUCGAUACUACUCAGCUAGAGUAUGGGAGAGGGUAGUGGAAUUCCCGGUGUAGCGGUGAAAUGCGUAGAUAUCGGGAGGAACAUCAGUGGCGAAGGCGGCUACCUGGCCCAAUACUGACGCUCAGGUGCGACAGCGUGGGGAGCAAACAGG
rnacentral:rRNA from 1 species